UCCUUUCUGUCUGGUGGUGGGCUCGCUAAAGCGGCCUCGAUCAGUCCUGCGUGAUGGAUUUUUACGAUAAGCCGCCCGGAGUUUCGAGGCGGCUUUUUU
rnacentral:ncRNA from 1 species